GAGUUUGAUCUUGGCUCAGAGCGAACGCUGGCGGCAGGCUUAACACAUGCAAGUCGAGCGGCCGUAGCAAUACGGCAGCGGCAGACGGGAGAGUAACACGUGGGAACGUGCCCUUUGGUUCGGAAUAACGCAGGGAAACUUGCGCUAAUACCGGAUAAGCCCUUACGGGGAAAGAUUUAUUGCCAAAGGAGCGGCCCGCGUCUGAUUAGCUAGUUGGUGAGGUAACGGCUCACCAAGGCAACGAUCAGUAGCUGGUCUGAGAGGAUGAUCAGCCUCACUGGGACUGAGACACGGCCCAGACUCCUACGGGAGGCAGCAGUGGGGAAUAUUGGACAAUGGGCGCAAGCCUGAUCCAGCCAUGCCGCGUGGAUGAUGAAGGCCUUAGGGUUGUAAAGUCCUUUUAACGGGGAAGAUAAUGACGGUACCCGUAGAAUAAGCCCCGGCUAACUUCGUGCCAGCCGCCGCCGU
rnacentral:rRNA from 1 species